AUAUUAUAAUUUUUUAAAAAAAUAAAAUAAAUAUUACCGUGAAUUAAGGACAAACAAAUACCCAAUACCGUUUCCACCUCAUAAAAAAAUAAAAAAAAAGCGACAAACAAAAACAGCCUAUAUUACUACAUCACCUUAAACCUAAGUACAGUGGCCGACCCAUCCAUCGUCUUCUCCUCCCCACCGACCCAUCCAUCCAUCCAUUGUCCUCUUCUCCCCAAAUUCCCACCGCUGCACACCCCACCCACUUCUUGUUUCUUCUUCUUCCCCGUUCUUUUCCUUCUCUUCUUCGCGAUUUCACCCCGCUGCUGUUGGAAGUAAGUUCGGUACCGGAACCUUCGUUUCGGAACGCCGGAGCAACUUUAUCGUCCUCUUCCCUAACUUAGCUUUCUUCGAUCGUCUUCAUCUUCCUCUGCCCCGAUUAUCUGUCGUCUUCGUCAUCCUCUCUCUGGUCCAAACAGUGAGCGGUGCUGUUGGUUUUUCAAAAAACGACGAUCAUGUCUCAAAGCAGUUGGAUUUUCAAAAACGGUGCGGUUUUACCAGAGAAGGACACACCGGUUGCAGCUUUUCUAGAAGCUCGUCCAGGUGCUUAUACAACUUUUCGGACAGUCACCUUUGGCAAGGGCCCAUGUCUCAUGUUAUGGGAAAAGCAUAUGUGCAGGCUUUCAAAUUCUUUCAAAUUGCUGUUGAAAGAAAAUCCUAAUCUUUUAUUUGGAAACACCGGCGGCCCUACGUCCCCAAUUUGGAGAUUCCCGACUGGGACAGUGGCGUGGGACUCGGUAGUUCCUUCUUUGGUUUAUGAUUGUUUGAAGAAAGCAAUAUGUUAUCUUUCGAAAGAGAGGAUUACUGAGGAACUGUCCAUAACAACCCUUGUGGGUGGGCAUUUUGAGAAUCCGGAUGAGAUGAGGGUUAUUUUGGAAGAAGGAAGGAUUUGUGAGGCAAUUGAUGUGUAUAUGCAUAUAGGACAAUAUGCUCCGGUUAGAGAGGAUCCUGCACGUUUGGCUGUGGUGGGUCGACGCAGGGAAUAUGCUGAAGCAAAGUAUUCAGAUUGGGUCAGGGUAAGGAAGCGUCUGGAGAAGCUGAGGCCACCUUCUUUUACUGAACUUCUAUUGUCCGAAGAUGGCGAACACAUUUUAGAAGGCUGCGUGUCGAACUUUUUCGUUGUUUCUUGGAAGGAGGAAGAAUACGAUGCUGGGAAACGUAAUUUGCCAGACUUUCUAUCUUUUGAAGUUCAGACAGCACCUGUAAAAGAUGGUGUCCUUCCAGGAAUAAUACGCCAAGAGAUAAAAGAAGCAUGCGUGAGACUCGGCAUACUUUUUCGGGAAGUUGCACCUUUAUGGUCAAAGCGUGAACUGUGGGCAGAAGCAUUCGUCACAAAUAGUCUUAAGGUUGUACAGCCUGUAGAGGUGGUCCGAGUUCCUUAUGUUCCGUGGAAAUUAGUAAAAUCCAAUAGCUGGGACCGUAUACCGUGGGUGGAGAAACGAUUUGAGGCUGGUGGUGGGGAGGUCACAUCAGCAUUAAAGAUCGACGUUUAUAAAGCAGCGUUUGCAGAGGCGCUCCCCAUUUCUUCAUUUGAGGAGGAUUGAUGCUCGGUCGAUCAACUGAUUACCAACGGCAAGACUGGUUAUAUUGAUGUUUGAAAGAAAUGAAUGACUGGUGAUGAACGCCAUUUUAAAGGAAGGGUCGAGGUGCGCAAAACUAAUGCAAUCCUCUUCUUGCGUCAGGUACAGUAUUUCGAAAAAAAUAUAAAUAUUUUCGGUAUUCCUUAGGUAAAUUUGUACUUUGAUGAUCCUUUGAGUUCAUUUCUAAUAUCUGGCCUAUUUUAAAGGAUAAAUUGUAAUUUGUUUAUUUUAUUUUUUUACACCACACAUAUUCACCCGGAAUCAAACUCGGGAAUAUGUCUCACUAUUUGAUCUAUAACGAUUUUGACUGGAAUUUAUUAA